GCAUAUCAAUAAGCGGAGGGAAAAGACAACCAACAAGGGAUUGUCCUCUAGUUAUCUUCCGAGUGAAGCCGGCAAGAGCUCAAAUUUGAAAGCUGGCUCCUUCGGGGUCCCGCAUUGUAAUUUUGCAGAGGAUGCUUCGGGAGCGGUCCCCCAUCUAAGUGCCCUGGAACGGGCCGUCAUAGAGGGUGAGAAUCCCGUAUGGGAUGGGGUGCCCGCGACCAUGUGAAGCUCCUUCGACGAGUCGAGUUGUUUGGGAAUGCAGCUCUAAAUGGGUGGUAAAUUUCAUCUAAAGCUAAAUAUUGGCCGGAGACCGAUAGCGCACAAGUAGAGUGAUCGAAAGAUGAAAAGCACUUUGAAAAGAGAGUUAAAAAGCACGUGAAAUUGUUGAAAGGGAAGCGCUUGCGACCAGACUCGCCCGCGGGGUUCAGCCGGUAUUCGUACCGGUGUACUUCCCCGUGGGCGGGCCAGCGUCGGUUUGGGCGGCCGGUCAAAGGCCCUCGGAAUGUAACGCCUCUCGGGGCGUCUUAUAGCCGAGGGUGCCAUGCGGCCAGCCCGGACCGAGGAACGCGCUUCGGCACGGACGCUGGCAUAAUGGUCGUAAGCGACCCGUCUUGAAACACGGACCAAGGAGUCUAACAUCUACGCGAGUGUUCGGGUGUCAAACCCGUGCGCGCAGUGAAAGCGAACGGAGGUGGGGAACCCUUUGGGUGCACCAUCGACCGAUCCUGAUGUCUUCGGAUGGAUUUGAGUAAGAGCGUAGCUGUUGGGACCCGAAAGAUGGUGAACUAUGCCUGAAUAGGGCGAAGCCAGAGGGAAACUCUGGUGGAGGCUUCGCAGCGGUUCUGACGUGCAAAUCGAUCGUCAAAUUUGGGUAGUAGGGGCGAAAGACUAAUUCGAACCAUCUAGUAGCUGGUUCUGCCGGAAG
rnacentral:rRNA from 1 species